ACGGGAAAAUGACCUAUGAAUUGACAGACAAUAUAGCUGAGUUUGUCUGUCAUUUCUUUAGGCCAAUAUUCUGU
rfam:Pan troglodytes isolate Yerkes chimp pedigree #C0471 (Clint) chromosome 1, whole genome shotgun sequence.